UACGUAGGGCGCAAGCGUUGUCCGGAAUUAUUGGGCGUAAAGAGCUCGUAGGCGGCUUGUCACGUCGGGUGUGAAAGCCCGGGGCUUAACCCCGGGUCUGCAUUCGAUACGGGCAGGCUAGAGUGUGGUAGGGGAGAUCGGAAUUCCUGGUGUAGCGGUGAAAUGCGCAGAUAUCAGGAGGAACACCGGUGGCGAAGGCGGAUCUCUGGGCAACAACUGACGCUGAGGAGCGAAAGCGUGGGGAGCGAACAGG
rnacentral:rRNA from 1 species